rnacentral:rRNA from 1 species
UACGUAGGGUGCAAGCGUUGUCCGGAAUUAUUGGGCGUAAAGAGUUCGUAGGCGGUUUGUCGCGUCGUUCGUGAAAACUUGGGGCUUAACUCCAAGCGUGCGGGCGAUACGGGCAGACUUGAGUACUACAGGGGAGACUGGAAUUCCUGGUGUAGCGGUGAAAUGCGCAGAUAUCUGGAGGAAUACCGGUGGCGAAGGCGGCAUCCUGGACCGAGAUUGACGCUGAACGGCGAAAGCUAGGGGAGCAAACGGG